CAAUUCAGGUUGGACUCAGAUAAGGAAGAAAGUCACAGUGGGAUUUUCUGGGGAAACCCAAACGAGACACAGCAUUAUCACAAGAUGAUGUCAAGUUAUGACCCAGGCGACACCACUCUGAAAUUUGUCACAAGGCCAGAUGAUAUAAUGUCCUGGCUGUCAGACAUUUGUGGAGCGAAGAGACCUGACCGACUUGUCUGUUCGCUGCCCAAUUUGCACAGCGGAAAAAGGACACGCCUAUGAGUUCUGCUGGCAGUGCUUAAAGACCUGGAAUGGACCUGUUUCUCGCUCUGACAAGUGUGAAAAUGAGGGGUGCAUCAACCCAAACCUGGAGAAGCUGGAGAACUCUAUUACCAUAACUUUAUCUCAGUGCAGUGUCCAGCUUUACGUGCCUGUCCCACGUGUGGUUUAAUUCUAGAGCAUGAUACAUCCGCGUGCAAAAUGAUUGUCUGCGUUCGAUGCCAGAAGGAGUUUUGUUUUCUCUGCUUGAAACUCAAGGCUGAAUGUUUGGAGACCAGUGCUCACUUUAGUCUUUGCACUGUAGCUGAGAAGCAGACUUCCAUCCCAUCAUGGGUGAAAUAAUCUAGUUCAGACAAACACACUUUUAAAUACAAUGUGCAGUGCUCAAUAUCCCUUGAUAAAAUGUGUGCUAUUAUGCAGCUUUAUUUUCAAGACAGUUUGGAGGAAAAGACAUUUGCCAUCAUAUAAGCCUAAUUGUUCUUAUAAUACAAAUAAAGUUUGUCAUAUCUUCUAUUUGCAUGUGAAAUAUGUAGCCUAUGUUUCUUUGUGCAUUUUCAUAUAGCAGCCAAUAAAGCAUA
ensembl:lncRNA